rnacentral:tRNA from 1 species
AGGGGAAUAGUUUAAUGGUAGAAUGACGGUCUCCAAAACCGCAGAUGGGAGUUCGAUUCUCUCUUCCCCUGCCA